rnacentral:rRNA from 1 species
UGUGCAAAGGUAGCAUAAUCAUUUGUCUUUUAAUUGAAGGCUUGUAUGAAUGGUUUGACGAGAAAUAUACUUUCUUUAUUUUAAAUUAAAUGAAUUUAAUUUUUUAGUUAAAAAGCUAAAAUUUUGUUGGAGGACGAGAAGACCCUAUAGAGCUUUAUAUUAUUUAUAAUUUUAUAUUUUUGGAUUAAUAAUUAUUUAAUAUUAUAAAUAAUAUUUCGUUGGGGUGACGUGAAAAAUUAUAUAACUUUUCMUUAUUUUAUUCAUUAAUUAAUGUAUUUAUGAUCCAUAAUUUAUGAUUAUAAGAUUAAGCUACCUUAGGGAUAACAGCGUAAUUUCUUUGGAGAGUUCUUAUCGAUAAAGAAGUUUGCGACCUCGAUGUUGGAUUAAAAUAAGUACUGGGUGCAGCAUUUCAGUUACUAGGUCUGUUCGACCUUUAAAUUUUUACA